GGGGUUGUGGCUCAACAGUAGAGCACUUGCCUAGCACACAGAAGGCCCUGGGUUUGAUACCCAGCACCA
rnacentral:tRNA from 1 species